rnacentral:rRNA from 1 species
CCCUUAGAUGUUCUGGGCCGCACGCGCGCUACACUGAUGCAUUCAACGAGUCUAAAACCUGGUCUGAUAGGGCUGGGUAAUCUUUUGAAUGUGCAUCGUGAUUGGGAUAGGUGAUUGCAAUUCUUCAUCUUCAACGAGGAAUGCCUAGUAAACGCAAGUCAUCAGCUUGCAUUGAUUACGUCCCUGCCCUUUGUACACACCGCCCGUCGCUCCUACCGAUUGAAUGUUCCGAUGAAUACCAUGGACUGAGAGUAUGAAUGGGUUCGCCUAUUUCUGCUUCUCGGGAAGUGGAGUAAAUCUUAACAUUUAGAGGAAGGAGAAGUCGUAACA